CAGUUUAUAUUUUAAAAAUUUGAACUCGUUAUAAACGAAAGCGUAAUAAUCAAUUUAAAUGUAAAUCGUGUUCGCGCAUAUAUAACUUUCUCGACCUAUUUUCGAUCAUUUUCGACUAUUUCCGAUUAAUACUAUCUUAUUAUAUUGCACGUGUGUAUUAAUGGAUACGUAUAAUUUAUUGCAUUCUUUUAUAUAUUAAUCAGAUAUUACAUGUAUAAGUUUGGAUUAACAAAAUUAUCGUUUCGAUGGUUUACACGUUUACACAUAUAUUUAUAAAGUUAUCAUAUCUUUGAAUAAUAGAUCAUGUCAAAUGACGUGUAAUUACAGGUAACGGCAACCAACGUUCGGCAGGUAUCGCUAACCUUCGUCAAUCUUCGUCAUCCAUUUGACCGGUGACAGCUUUGUUCGUUGGACGCUACCAAGUUGCGACGGAAUUUAUUUUCUCUACGUUGUAAUUACAGUUCCAGGAAAUUCUUCGCGAUGAAUACAUGUAAACAAAAACAGUCAAGCGUCGGGAUCGUCCAAGGUCAAGAGCAGGCAGUAUCCUCAUUACCACACGACAUACCAACAAGCAAACGUUUGGCUGUUUUGAAGAGCAGUUAAAUAAAAUUAGAAUCAAUGGAAAUUUGCAAAGUAGAAUCAUUUUUGUAUUAGUUCAUCAUUGGGAUAAGAGACUCAUCGUUCAAAGAUCAAUAAACACUUAAAGUAAGUAAAUUUUUGUAUUGAACAUUUUCACAAUAAUAUGAUGCUAAUAAUUUUGUUCUUGUUUUUUUUUUAAAGGUCGUUCUUACAAUCGUAAGUAAAGCAAUAAAUAAAUCAAAUGUUGUAUCGCUAAAAAAAAAAAUCGCGAAAUAGAAGCCGUGUUUGUUAAUGUAAAUUUGUUCGCAUUUCUUAAUAACUUUAAAAAAUUAAUCUUUAAUAACUAUACUUAAUAAGUAUACUCUUAAAUCAAUUGCGUAUAAAGUUGUCAAUUGUAGAGUCAGUGUUUGUUCGCAUAAAGUAUUAUUUUUCUUUUUUUUUUUUUUAACAGUAAAAAUCCGUGGAUUAAAUUUAAGUGACCAUCUCGUAAUUAAUAAAUAAUUAUCGUGCAUUAGAGUUAGUGCAUCGCCGAAAAUAAUAAUAUACUUUUCUGUAGGAGAUUAUUGAUAAAUAAAUGUUUAUAUUUUACAGUAUAUAAUUAAACAAUAAUUAUUUUAUUACAAUAAUAGUAAUAAAAUUUUUAUUUUUCAU